rnacentral:rRNA from 1 species
GCUAAACGCGAAGAACCUUACCUGGCCUUGACAUCCAUGGAAUCCCGAAGAGAUUCGGGAGUGCCGCAAGGAACCAUGAGACAGGUGCUGCAUGGCUGUCGUCAGCUCGUGUCGUGAGAUGUUGGGUUAAGUCCCGCAACGAGCGCAACCCUUGUCCUUAGUUGCCAUCAUUAAGUUGGGAACUCUAAGGAGACCGCCGGUGACAAACCGGAGGAAGGUGGGGAUGACGUCAAGUCAUCAUGGCCUUUAUGGCCAGGGCUACACACGUGCUACAAUGGCAGGUACAGAGGGAAGCCAACCGGCGACGGGGAACUAAUCCCAGAAAGCCUGUCUUAGUCCGGAUUGCAGUCUGCAACUCGACUGCAUGAAGUUGGAAUCGCUAGUAAUCGCAGAUCAGCAUUGCUGCGGUGAAUACGUUCCCGGGUCUUGUACACACCG